rnacentral:misc_RNA from 1 species
UGCUGAACUAUCAAAUAUGGAAUGGGAUUGUGAUGCUUGCAGGACACCUCCCUCAGCUUCUCGGCUAAAUGUAAUUGCUGAAACUUGCCCUGGUGCUCCUUUAGAGCCAACUGGUAAAUCAAGGAUUAUUGAUUUGGGCUUAUGCAAAAAGCUUGAAUUCUAACGGUAUUGGACAUUAUCUGUGCUAUUUAGAAUAUGACACUACACUGCCAACUAAUUUUGCAAGUGUGGGUUAUGAAUUAGUUAAAGGCGUAACUUUUGUGCCUCAUAUGU